CAAACCCUCUCAACCUCCGCCUCCCACUCUCCUUUCCAUAAAUGGCGUUCGCCGGACCCCUCUUUGGGCCCUAAAAAACCCUAGACCUAACCCUAGCUGGUGUGUAACCAAAAAAAAAAAACCUAGCUGCUGUAGGUGGGGGCCAUGACAGUGAUCGUGAUGGAGGAAGGGAAGGAGAAGUCGAAGGCGACGGCGGCAGUUUCGGAGGCAAGCUGCCGGCCGCUGAUGCACAGCCAGGUGAGGAGGAUAAGGGAGGAGGAGCUGAGGAUCACGGGCGAGGAGCGGCGGAGCGCCAGGGACCGGAUCACACUGCUCCAUCUCAGGACCCACGUCGACGCCACCUUGUGCUCGCGCUCGCGGCCAAGCCCGCCGUCUUCCCCUCUCGGGAAUAAAGCGGCGAUCGGAUCGUCCCUCUUCUGAUAGCAGAGCCCGGAAUUGUAAACGCACCGCCUCAAUCCUCAUACGGUCAAUCCUUACAUUUCUGAGCUCCUUCUAGAAUCUCAACCGCCUCGUCCGGUCCGGAAACGCGCAGAGUUACGGCCGUAGAAGGGAGCAGGAACUCUUUUUUCAGGUUUUAUUUUUUUUCUUCCUUUUCUACCCACCUCCGUUUUGUGGAAAGUACACAGUGUAUGUGCAGCUAUUGGAGUAAUACUUCAGUUUUACAGGGGUAUAUGUGGAAAGAAGGUCUGCUUCUUUUA